rnacentral:rRNA from 1 species
GACGAACGCUGGCGGCGUGCUUAACACAUGCAAGUCGAACGGAAAGGCCCUGCUUUUGUGGGGUGCUCGAGUGGCGAACGGGUGAGUAACACGUGAGUAACCUGCCCUUUACUUUGGGAUAACUUCAGGAAACUGGGGCUAAUACCGGAUAGGAGCUCCUGCUGCAUGGUGGGGGUUGGAAAGUUUCGGCGGUUGGGUAUGGACUCGCGGCUUAUCAGCUUGUUGGUGGGGUAGUGGCUUACCAAGGCUUUGACGGGUAGCCGGCCUGAGAGGGUGACCGGCCACAUUGGGACGGAGAUACGGCCCAGACUACUACGGGAGGCAGCAGUGGGGAAUAUUGCACAAUGGGCGGAAGCCUGAUGCAGCAACGCCGCGUGCGGGAUGACGGCCUUCGGGUUGUAAACCGCUUUCGCCUGUGACGAAGCGUGAGUGACGGUAAUGGGUAAAGAAGCACCGGCUAACUACGUG